CGGGCUCCCAAGGGAGGUGGUGCUCUCCCCUACCCUGGGGGUCUUCAAGAGGAGGUUAGAUAAGCAUCUAGCUGCGGUCAUCUAGACCCAGCACUCUUUCCUGCUUAUGCAGGGGGUCGGACUCGAUGAUCUAUUGAGGUCCCUUCCAACCCUAACAUCUAUGAAUCUAUGAAUCCAUUGUCCUUUCAGUCAUCCAAAUGCACAGUCCACCACCAUCCUGCACUGCUGAGGCUGUAGUUAAAAAAACAGCUUCUGUGAGUCCGUGAUGUUCCCUCCAUAAGGCUUCAUGAGCCAGGGCUUUAGUGGGAGGCAGCAUCUGGUAGUAUGAUGAGAGAAUGGUAAUGCCACGGAUCACUCUCUCCUCCAUGCUGGGUGUGCAAUGUCCUUUCUCCCUGAUGUCAGCCAGAGGGGAGUUUUGGGACACCCGUGCAUCCUGCAUGCUGCUGGCCCACCCUGUAAAAAUGUUUGUGAUCCAGCCCCGGUCGUCCACCAUGGCUUGCUGGAUCACAGAGGCAAAUCCUUUCCUGUUAGUGUAAAGACUCCCACUCCUUGCAGGGCACAGCAAUGGGAUGGGAGUGCUUUCUAAAGGCCCCACACAGUUUGGGAACCCCUUCUCAUUAAAACAAUCCAUCACUUCCUGUGGAUUCGCCAGGUGGACAACUUUGUUUAAGCAAUGUCCCUAAGCAGCUGGCAUACCUCAUGAGUUGCCUGCCUCACCGUGCAGGCAGUCACACCAAACCGGUUGGCAAUGUAGCAGAGGCUGGAUGGGCUAGUUUCAUGAUGGCCAUUACAACCCUCUUGUCUGGUGGGAUGGCCCAACGCAUGUUUGUGUCCUGCCUUGUGAUGUGUUGGCCCAGCAUGCAGACAAUAUGGUAGAACGUCUCCCUUUUCACGCAGAACAUCUCCACCCACUGCUGGUCAUUGCACGUGGUCAGCAUGAUUCACUCCCACCAGCCCAAGCUGCUCUCGAGGCCCACACCAUGUGGAUUCUGCUGGUCCUCCUCACGUUUCUCAACAGAGCCCGGUCAUAUUCCACUUGUUCGCUUUGCCUCCCCUGUGUACGCCGUGUAUCUUCUAAUGUGUGCUGUUAAAGCAGAAAUCACACAAGUUGCCACUGGAAAGUGUACUGUCACAUGAAGUGUGCUGAAGACUUCCUCCCACAUUCUACAGUAAAACAGCAUUUCCAGGAAUUCAUCCUCCUCCUCCUGCUGCUCCAUGUCCUCCAUCUCCUCCAUCAUGUCAAGUACUUCAUCCUCAUUCUCUAUUUUGCCCAUCUCCCAGCACCAGCCUCUCACCCAUCUGCACCAAGCAGGGAGGCAUGACUGUGUGUGUGUGCUUGGUAUAGCUGCUUUUUCAGCACUUCACCCCAGCACCCCAGGACAUUGUGCCUUUUGCACGAGCUUUGCAUCCACUACUGGUGUUAUGAUGUAAUCAAGCUUGCAAACAAAAAAAAAAGAGUUUUGCCUACUCCUCUCCUGCCUAUUUUAAACUGUUGCCAGUUUCUGGAGAAACUGCUUCUGUAAUAAAAUUAUUUUGCACAAGCAGGCAAUUAUUAAUGAUGUUUACAACAUUUCCAGCCAUUGAGCUGCCAUCCCAAAGUAUAAAGGCCUUAUUUAUCCCAUCACCAGGUUUUUGUUGUUAACUGUGGGUACUUCAUCACCUUUGGGUGCUUUGAUACUCACAGGUAAUGACUUCAAAAUCCUUGCGAUUUUCCCAGACUCUCCAGGAAACGCAGCCUGAGUAUAAAGGUGCCCCUGCCAAAAUUUGGCAGCCCCUUGCACAAAUCACUUGUGCUUGUGCUGUUGACCACCAACUGUUUCACCCACCAUGUCUCAGAGAGCCAGGGCCAGCAGUAUGAUGGAGCUGAUGUCCCAGGAGGCUGACACUUCCAAUGCCUGUGAACCCAACUGGAGCUGGGAAGAACUGGAAGACUUAAUCAACAUUUGGUUGGAGAAAGGAUCAUAGACAGGCUGGACAGUAGGAUGAAUAAACCUGUUUAUGUCGACAUCACAAAAGGCAUGCAGGCACAAGGGCACAAUUGUGACUGGAUCCAGGUCCACUGCAAGAUCAAGUCCUUCAGAUCUGCAUUUUACAGAGCAAAAGAUGCUAACUCUCAUUCUGGGGCAGCUCACUUACAUGCCCCCUUCUAUGCAAGCUGUCUGUCAUUCUCUGCAGGGAUGUGGCUGAGAUCCCGGCUUUGCAGACUUUCAGCACCAGGGUUGGGCUGGAGGUGGAGGAGGAGGAGAAAGCAGUGGCAGCAGUCCCUCCUCAGGUUGACACCAUGUCUCAGCUGUUCAGAGACUGCUCUGUGUUCCUGCCCAAUGACCAGUUGCAGGAAGAACUCUUGGUCACCUUAGAGUUAUUGCCACUUAGCCCCCUCCUUCCCCCCCCCCCUCCCCCCCGUUCCAUGGAGUAGCACAAAUGAUGAAUCAGAGGAGGUGCGGGGUCAGGAAGAAACAUCAUCUGCUGGGCCUGGUUAGUCUCUUUUAAUGUGUCUCUUGCUGCUGCCAGACAACUCCUGGCUUUGUGCUGGUUGGGUUUGGGGGCCUGUGGGGGUGGGGAGAAUUCUUGUGUUGCUGUAGGUGGGUCACCAAGUUCUUUCAGUGAUGGUGCAGGCCAGCUGGGUUCGAUAGCUAAUUAGCGGUUCUAUUGCUAAUUAUUUGUUUUAAUUAAUUUGUUGCAGCUAGCAUGGGCAGUGGCAGCAAUGGAUGUGUUCCUCCUGGAGCACUGCCGUGACCCUUCGGGAAUGACGCCCCGCUCGCACUUCAGCAAAACACUGCAGAGGUUUUCACAGCAAGCAAAGAUGGACCCGUGAAGCCUCACUCGAGGCUUUGGCGGAGUCCUUAGCAGCCGAAGCAGAAUGUGAAGCUUCCUGGUAGGACAAACUUCAUGCCUCCAUGUGUCACCUUCCACUGCUAACUGCACACCCUCUGGCUGUGACAAGAGGCAGAAAGAGAGAGGAAGAGAGAGACAGCAAAUGAAGAAGAGCAGAGAAGAGAAUACUUCCUGCAGGAUUCAUUCUGCAUUGUAAUCAUAGCUGACUUUCCUCCUGUCUCAUGUAGACUCACAAUAUAACAGGUAAUACUAAAAGUAGGCAGCUAUUAAUUACAGUUGUCACAUUUAAAUAAGAGUUUUAUUGAUGAUUUAUUAAUAAUCAAUGAUUGUGAUGGUUCAAUUCAUUUCAAAGCAUGUAGAUGUGCCUUAUCACCCUGCAUACAUACAUCCAUACACAUCCCUGGUCUCCAUUAUAUAUAUAUAUAGCCACCUCUGGUAGGGUGAAGGCUAUGGGAGGCUUCCCGCUCUGCUCUUUGAUCUCCCUGGAAGCCCUCUCCCACCUGAGCCCAUAGACUGGUUUCUUUCCUCUGUUUUCCUCCUGUAGCUGGACCUGGUGUUGGGCCUUGAUCUGAAGUCUCAGAUUAUGAACCAGAGCCAGUGGGACUGUUGUGUCAUAGUGAGCUGAAUUUCUCACUGGAGCAAGUGGCCACAAAUUUGCUCAGGUCCCAUUGUCACUUGUGUCACCGGUGCUGACAAUUAGGCUUCUGUUGGCAUGACCUUGUUUGGCAGGCAAGAGAACAUUUCUAUCCUGCAGAUCAUUUUGUGAGACUCUACAGGUCACCCAGCUGGCAAUGGCUAAUGCAGGAAUUGCUCAUGUUGGACCAUUAUGCCCAUGAAACCUGUGACUGAUACAAGUUAUUUUUUGGAGAUAUUGCCAUGGAUGUUUUCCAAAGCAGACACUGGGAAAUGAGUUCUUUUGCUUUUGACUGCAUAGUUUUACUUCCAUAGUAUCUGAUGAAGUAGCCGGUGGCCUACAAAAGCUCAUGCCUCUGAACCAGUUGGUUUCCGUGACACCACCCUCUCCUGCCUUUACCCCAGGAUUGCUUGGACAGAGGAUUUGUAUUUCCACUCAUAGAAAAAGGGGCUCAGCUACCUUUGUGAGAUGAAACAAGGAUGUUUCUUAGUUUCAUAGUUUCAUAGUUGUUAGGGUCCUGGGCAGGAAUGAAUGCUGGGGUCAAAUGACUCCGGCUAAGUGAUUAUCUAGCCUCCUUUUGAAGACUCCCAGGGUAGGAGCGAGGACCACUUCCCUUGCAAGUUGGUUCCAGCUCGUGGCAACCCUGACUGUGAAGUAGUGCCUCCUGAUAUCUAGCCUGAACCUACUCUCAAUCAACUUGUGGCCGUUGUUCGUAGUUACUUCAGGUAGCACUCGGGGGAACAGGGCUUCUCCCAUUCCCUGCUGGUCUGCCCUGGUAAGUUUGCAGAUGGCCACCAGUCCCCUCUCAUCCUUCUCUUGUGAGGGCUGAACAGGUUCAGGUCCUGUAACCUCUCCUAAUAGGGUCUCCCUUGCUGCCUCCUGAUCAUGUGGGUGGCCCUCCUCUGGACCCUCUCCAUGUUGUACACAUCCCUCCUGAAGUCCAGUGCCUAGAACUGGAUGCAGUACUACAACUGCAGGCUGACCAGUGUCACACAGAGGGGGAGGAUCACCUCCUUGGACGUGCUUGUGAUGCAUCUAUGGAUGCAUGGCAAGGUACGGUUAGCCUUACUGACCGCGUCCCCACAUUGGAGGCCCAUGUUCGUCUUGGAAUCAAUAAUGAUUUCAAGAUCCUUUUUUGCCUCUGCACUGACAAGAAGGGAGUUCCCCAGCCUGUAGGUGUGCUGCUGGUUCUUCCUCCCCAGGUGCAGCACCUUGCACGUGUCAGUAUUGAAACCCAUCCUAUUCUCAUCUGCCCACCCCUGUAACCUGUCCAGAUCUAGUUGCAACCUGUCCCCACUUGUAGCAUGCCCACUUCCCUCCACAUCUUAGUAUUGUCUGUGAAUCUGAACAAGGUGCUUUUCACCCCCUCGUCCAAGUUGCUAAUGAAAAUGUUGAACAGUGCGGGCCUAAGGACUGAGCCCUGGGGGACCCCACUGCCCACAUCCCUCCAGGUCAAAAAUGACCUGUCCACCACCACUCUCUGGGUGUGGCCCCUAAGCCAAUUUGUGACCCAUCUGACUGUGUAGGCAUCAAUGCCACAGUCGCCUAGUUUUUUUUUUAAUGAGAAUGGGGUGAGAGACAGUGUUGAAGGCCUUCCUGAUGUCCAGAAAGACUACGUCUACUGCAACACCUGCAUCCAGGGAUUUUGUGACCUGAUCAUAAAAGUCAACCAGGUUGGUCUGACAGGACCUGCCCCUAAUGAACCCAUGUUGGUUGCCCCUGAGCAUAAUCUCCCCUCCUCCUGGCUCUUCGCAGAUGUGAUUCUGGAUAAUUUUCUCAAAAAGCUUCCCCAGGACCGAGUUAAGACUAAUGGGCCUGUAGUUUCCUGGGUCCUCCUUCCUCCCUUUUUUUGAGAAUAGGAACCACAUUGGCCCUUUUCCAGUCCUCUGGCACCUUGCCAGAGCACCAUGAGUGCCUACUGACUUUACUGGGUUCUGGAUGAGAGCCAUCAGCUGAAAGUUUCUGGUAUACAAUUCUCUAAGCAACCAGAACCCAAACUGAGGGCCUGGAUUCAAGGCCCUAAGACCCUAGUUACUAUACUAUGGGGAGCACGACCCUAUGUCCUGUGGUUUCUGGCCCUUUACUAAGGCUUUCUGCUUCCCUUUACAAGAGUUUCCUUGGGUAUUAUGGAUUGCUCUCUUUUGACUUGAGAUGCACCAGGGAAUGUAACUGAGGGGUUGGAGGAAGGAAAGCUUGUCCUACUCACCAGGACAUCUAAUCCAGACAGUUCAUCCUGCAAGAAAGAGAGAGGGAGAGUGGAAAGUUGCAUCAAAAUGAAGAUGUAGCCAUGAUGGAGCUACUUUCCCUACCAUGCCCAAGGAUGAAGCAGGACCAGGAUUUAUCCUAUACUUCAUCCUAUGCUCCAGAAAAUUAGUGCUCCCAGGAGAGACAGACUGUCUCCAUUACUGUUGACAAUCAUCUGCAAAAACCCCAGGGACCAUCUUAUUUGCAACAGGCACUCAGAGAAUGAAGCGGUCCCAAUCAGGAUUCUCCAAGGAACCAGAACCCAAAUCAGGGGCCUGGAUUCCAACUCCUGAGCCUGUAGUGUCUAUUCCUUGGGGAGCACUGCCUGCAGCCUAUGCAUAUCUGGCCCUUUACUAAGGCUCCUGACUUCUUUUCCCAAGAGUUGGCUAGAGGCUUUCUGGAUUUAGCUUUUUGGGGGGGCUUUACUUG